rnacentral:rRNA from 1 species
AGAGUUUGAUCAUGGCUACAGGAUUAACGCUUGGCGGUAUGCCUAACACAUGCAAGUCGAACGGAAUACUAAUUAAGAGAAUCUCACACUAGUGAGAGGUUCUCACGAGUAGUAUUUAGUGGCGGACGGGUGAGUAACACGUUGGAACCUGCCCCGAAGUGGGGAAUAACUGCUCGAAAGAGUAGCUAAUACCCCAUAGUAUCCCGGUUUAAUCCGGGAUUAAAGAUUUAUCGCUUCGGGAGGGGCCUGCGUCUGAUUAGCUAGUUGGUGAGGUAAAAGCUCACCAAGGCGACGAUCAGUAGCUGGUUCGAGAGGAUGACCAGCCACACUGGGACUGAGAUACGGCCCAGACUCCCACGGGAGGCAGCAGUGAGGAAUCUUCCACAAUGGGCGCAAGCCUGAUGGAGCAAUACCGCGUGCAGGAAGACGCUUUUCGGAGUGUAAACUGCUUUUGUCGUCGAAGAUUAUGACUGUAGACGAAGAAUAAGGACCGGCUAACUACGUG